CCCAAACAAAAUAUCCAGCAACAAAGUAGUCUGCAGCAACAAGUCCAGUGACAGGCCUGACCCUUAUACCAGAAGGAUCCAUACCAGUCUCAUUGUCUAAGGACAUAUACUCCACCAACAUAAAGGCCUGUAAAUAUGCAUCCAUAAGAUCCAGCUAAUUAUCACAAGCAAACCUUUAAUUUGAAACAAGGAUGGCUUGGAAGGAAUUAUAUUAAAAGUUGAGUUUCAAAAGACCCAUAUAGCAUAAAGUAUCUAAAGACAGAAUAGAGCACAGCUUAUAGGAAUUUAAUCGUAAAAUUAUAAACUGAUGUGGCACAUGAUGAAUUACAACAACACUAGGAACAAUUUGUUUAACCAUGAUCAUAAACCAACUAAAAUAUCACCUAGAGAAGUGGUAGUACUAAAUAUAUAAAGAAUGUUUGCUAAAAUGAAACACCAUAAUAGAAUUUAGAAUCUUGGUUAUACAUGGUAAGAAGAGUUGAAUAGAUAAGACGGAAAGAACUCUAUCUUAUAUGGUGCUAAAGAAUAUCAAAUAACAAAAUCCAAGAAGAACUAAUAGAAUUAAAUCACUUGCUCUCUUGAAAAGUUUCCAACACGACCACCCUCACUAAGAGUUCGAACACCCAAAAUAACAGCUCCCCUCGUCUCAAAAGUUUCGGCUGCUCGUCCACCACCAACUAUGAGCCGCAUGACGCCUCCCCUUGCCUCAUUGUUGUAAUCUUUAUAAGUACAUGGUAUGUAAAGAGAAGUAGAAACUAUCAGAAAUUAAAACAAUAUUUACAUGUGUCCCCUUCUCAUACAGAAAAGGAAUUAUACAAACAAGUCAGAAAUUAAUCAACUGUUUAGCAAUAUAUGCCAUAUCAGGUUUGUUAAUUAUCUUAAAUUCUACAUUCUGUUCAAUAACAAAGACACUAGGCAGCCGACCUCUUCUGAAAGGCAGACUUCUAAUAAUCUUGCCUGCCAAACUAUACAAACUAAUCAUAAAAGGAGCAGCAAAUUCUAUUUACUUAACCUGAAAUAACUUUGGAACAUAUAGAAUAAACCAACAGGCGGGAAAGUAAAUGAUAUGGAGCUGAUGUUAAGGUUCAAAAUAGAACCUUUUAAUAUUAGGACAUCCCAUGGCAGCCAAGUUUGGUCCUACUGUCCUGCAUCCUUUUGUGAAGCAUUUGAGAUUCACAUGGCAAGUAUACAGAAAACUAAGGAUACAAUAAGGAGAACUUUGAAUUGUAAAUAUUCAUUGUUUUGCAAGAGUUUAUACUACAAUAUGUCACUGAAACCGCUAUAGAUUUAUGAAAAAUGCAACAAAACACAACAUUUUUUUCCUGAUUGUUACAAUGAUUUGAGGUUAGCUAUUUAAUAAAAUGAAACUGAAUAAUACCAACAGAACGUGCACAACAUUAAAAGAGGGGACAAAUGGCCUUUCCUGUCAACUCAUAGGAAUUCUUGUGGAAGUAGAAACUAGGUUCCUCAGCUCCGUCAAAUGCUCAUCAUUUAAGUUUGUAAGUUUGUAAGUGUAGGUUUCUCGUGUAAGCAUAUCUACUACAAUAGUGAGUCAUAUAAUUUUCAAUUAUAUGCUAUGAAUUAUGAGAAAACCUAAGAAGCCUUGAGCUCUUAUCUCUCUCUCUCCUAUUCUUCUUUUCUACACAAUCUAUCUCAAUUCUGUCCCUAAUCUCCACCCUUUUCUUCUAAAUAUCCUAGUCUCCCUUGUUUCUAAUAUCUUGUCAAGACCAAAGUCUGGUCUUAUUAAGGAAAACAGAAAAUAGGGGCAUAAUUAGUACAUUUUCAACAAAUUUGAAUAAAGAACAAGAGAAGGGCUAUUCCUGUGAUGAGCAAACAAAAAGGAAAAAAAGAAGAAGAAGAAAUUAGGGUUUCAAAUUGAGAAAAAGAAGAGAAAUUAACUGGAAGUUACAAUUUGUGAGAAAUCUAGUAAGUUUUCUAUAACAAGCUAUUACAGAAAUUUAUGGUAUAACAUACUAGCGGCAAUUUGAGAGCUGAGAGUUUCAAUUUGAGAGAGGACAACUUCUAUUUUAGAGAAGAGAGUUUCAAUUUCGAGACCAGUGGCAAGGUAGCGACGACAGCAAGGUAGCGGCGGCGGCAAGACAGGAAGACAAGGCGGCGACAAGAUAUAGAUCUACAAGGCACCUCGGAGAGGGCGGAGGGUUUUGGGUUAGGCCAGAGACAGAGCGAGAGAGCCAAAUUGAUCUCUGUUUC
rnacentral:lncRNA from 1 species